GUAGUCCAUGCCGUAAACGGUGGGCGCUAGGUGUGAGUCCCUUCCACGGGGUUCGUGCCGUAGCUAACGCAUUAAGCGCCCCGCCUGGGGAGUACGGCCGCAAGGCUAAAACUCAAAGGAAUUGACGGGGGCCCGCACAAGCGGCGGAGCAUGUGGAUUAAUUCGAUGCAACGCGAAGAACCUUACCUGGGCUUGACAUACACCAGAUCGGCGCAGAGAUGCGUUUUCCCUUGUGGUUGGUGUACAGGUGGUGCAUGGUUGUCGUCAGCUCGUGUCGUGAGAUGUUGGGUUAAGUCCCGCAACGAGCGCAACCCUUGUCUUAUGUUGCCAGCACGUGAUGGUGGGGACUCAUGAGAGACUGCCGGGGUUAACUCGGAG
rnacentral:rRNA from 1 species